rnacentral:snoRNA from 1 species
CUGCAGACUUUUCCAGCGAGGCUCAGCCUGCUGUGGCUCCGUCCUUUCCUGUCUUGUCUGCUAGAGAGACGCGAGGCAGUUUGAGGCCCCGCUGCGACCCCUCAGCGGCAGGGUUAUAGGUUCGCCUCCGACAAAA